CUGGAAGUUCUUGUUCCAGUGACCUCUAAAGUCAGAUACUGGAGCUGGGAUUGAUUAUUAAAUGUAGUUUAUAUUUAUAAUAUGAUACGAACAAAAUUAUAAGAAUUAUUAUCAUAUUUCUUAAUUAAUAAACUUCCUUAUUCUUGUUUUAAGUGAUUUAACCUACUAAUAAACAGUGUUUUACUGUUUAUUUGUGUUUAGUAUUCUAAUGUUAUAUAGACUUAAUUACAGGUAGACACUCUUACUGACCACUGACUUUAUUAAUGUUUAUUUGGGUUUAGUAUUCUAAUGUUAUAUAUAGUUAAUUACAGGUAGACACUCUCACUGAACACUGGCUUUUUUAUUUAUUAAUGUUUAUUUGGGUUUAGUAUUCUAAUGUUAUAUAGAGUUAAUUACAUGUAGACACUCUCACUGAACACUGGCUUUUUUAUUUAUUAAUGUUUAUUUGGGUUUAGUAUUCUAAUGUUAUAUAGAGUUA